AGGAUAAAAAGGCUCUCACGUUUGCUGCAUGUAUAUGAUUCCUAUCGAAUACGUGUGUAAGGAACCUUCGGGUUUUUUUUGGACUACAACUCAGAAAAUUCAAACGUUUCUCAUAAACUUGACCCCGUUGGAGGACAACCCGCGGGCGUGGGCGACGAUCAGUAAAAAGAAAAAUGGUGGAAGUUCAUUUUACUUUUUUCAAGUCCACCGUAAACACUCGAGAAACGGGGAGUAGGCUGAAAGCCGAGAGGUCAAAGGGCGUCCGAUCGGGAGACGAAAUCGAUCGGCGAUAGGAAAAGCCGCUAAAAGCACCUCAAAGUCUUAAGAAAGAGGACGGACACGCCUCCUGCAUUUAUUAACCUUUCACUUACACUUACGUUGAGUGGCGGAACUUUUGUCAGCGAUUUUUUUCGACAAUCUGGAUCGGAAGAUCAGAAUUAAGGCCUAGUCACCGUCAUUUCUUACAAAAUCUUUUCCGUUCCUUCUUUCCUUCUUCCUUUGGAUUCCGACGAUCGAUGAAUUAUUUCUCGUUGAAACGAAAUAUUCGGACAAGGACCAAAGGACAUGACGGAUUUUCGAAUUCAGAAAAACAAAUGGAAAAAUACCGAAUGAUGCGGGAUUAAAAAAUGAAAAAGAUAGAAGCAGACGCAAAACGUGCCACUGAUGCUCUACUGCUAUAUGGUAGCAGGAAAUAUUCCGAGUCUCGAUGAAUAUGAUGAUGAUGAUGAUGAUGAUGUUGGCAAAUAUCUAAUUUAGAUUAGAUUAAACUUGGAAAGUUAAUUGCAUUGCACGCGUUUAGGAUUACGACGGAGGUUCUCCGCAUCAGGUUACAC
rnacentral:misc_RNA from 1 species